rnacentral:rRNA from 1 species
UACAGAGGGUGCGAGCGUUGUCCGGAAUCACUGGGCGUAAAGGGCGCGUAGGUGGCGGCCCAAGUCCAUGGUGAAAGCUCGAUGCUCAACAUCGAGUCGGCCACGGAUACUGGGUUGCUCGAGCACUGUAGGGGCAGAUGGAAUUCCGGGUGUAGCGGUGGAAUGCGUAGAGAUCCGGAAGAACGACCGGUGGCGAAGGCGGUCUGCUGGGCAGUUGCUGACACUGAGGCGCGACAGCGUGGGGAGCAA